rnacentral:rRNA from 1 species
UACGUAGGGUGCAAGCGUUGUCCGGAAUUAUUGGGCGUAAAGAGCUCGUAGGCGGUUUGUCGCGUCUGCUGUGAAAACUCGGGGCUUAACUCCGGGCCUGCAGUGGGUACGGGCAGACUAGAGUGCGGUAGGGGAGACUGGAAUUCCUGGUGUAGCGGUGAAAUGCGCAGAUAUCAGGAGGAACACCAAUGGCGAAGGCAGCUCGCUGGGCCGUUACUGACGCUGAGACGCGAAAGCGUGGGGAGCAAACAGG